GGAUGAACGCUGGCGGCGUGCCUAAUACAUGCAAGUAGAACGCUGAAGGAGGAGCUUGCUCUUCUGGAUGAGUUGCGAACGGGUGAGUAACGCGUAGGUAACCUGCCUGGUAGCGGGGGAUAACUAUUGGAAACGAUAGCUAAUACCGCAUGACAACAGUUAUUGCAUGAUAACUGUUUAAAAGGGGCAACUGCUCCACUACCAGAUGGACCUGCGUUGUAUUAGCUAGUUGGUGAGGUAACGGCUCACCAAGGCGACGAUACAUAGCCGACCUGAGAGGGUGAUCGGCCACACUGGGACUGAGACACGGCCCAGACUCCUACGGGAGGCAGCAGUAGGGAAUCUUCGGCAAUGGACGGAAGGCUGACCGAGCAACGCCGCGUGAGUGAAGAAGGUUUUCGGAUCGUAAAGCUCUGUUGUAAGAGAAGAACGAGUGUGAGAGUGGAAAGUUCACACUGUGACGGUAUCUUACCAGAAAGGGACGGCUAACUACGUG
rnacentral:rRNA from 1 species